rnacentral:rRNA from 1 species
ACAAGCGGUGGAGCAUGCGGUUUAAUUCGAAGCAACGCGAAGAACCUUACCAGGCCUUGACAUGCAGAGAACUUUCCAGAGGUGGAUUGGUGCCUUCGGGAACUCUGACACAGGUGCUGCAUGGCUGUCGUCAGCUCGUGUCGUGAGAUGUUGGGUUAAGUCCCGUAACGAGCGCAACCCUUGUCCUUAGUUACCAGCACGUUAUGGUGGGCACUCUAAGGAGACUGCCGGUGACAAACCGGAGGAAGGUGGGGAUGACGUCAAAUCAUCAUGCCCCUUAUGACCUGGGCUACAAACGUGAUACAAUGGCUGGAACAAAGGGAUGCGAAGCAGUGAUGUGGAGCGAAACCCAUAAAAACAGUCUCAGUUCGGAUUGAAGUCUGCAACUCGACUUCAUGAAGUCGGAAUCGCUAGUAAUCGCGGAUCAGAACGCCGCGGUGAAUACGUUCUCGGGGUUU